rnacentral:rRNA from 1 species
GAUGAACGCUGGCGGCGUGCCUAAUACAUGCAAGUCGAGCGAACAGACGAGGAGCUUGCUCCUCUGACGUUAGCGGCGGACGGGUGAGUAACACGUGGAUAACCUACCUAUAAGACUGGGAUAACUUCGGGAAACCGGAGCUAAUACCGGAUAAUAUAUUGAACCGCAUGGUUCAAUAGUGAAAGACGGUUUUGCUGUCACUUAUAGAUGGAUCCGCGCCGCAUUAGCUAGUUGGUAAGGUAACGGCUUACCAAGGGAACGAUGCGUAGCCGACCUGAGAGGGUGAUCGGCCACACUGGAACUGAGACACGGUCCAGACUCCUACGGGAGGCAGCAGUAGGGAAUCUUCCGCAAUGGGCGAAAGCCUGACGGAGCAACGCCGCGUGAGUGAUGAAGGUCUUCGGAUCGUAAAACUCUGUUAUUAGGGAAGAACAAAUGUGUAAGUAACUAUGCACGUCUUGACGGUACCUAAUCGGAAAGCCACGGCUAACUACGUG